AUCGCUUCUCAGCCUUUUGGCCAAGAUCAAGUGUAGUAUCUGUUCUUAUCAGUUUAAUAUCUAAUAUCUCUAUCUGAGGACAAUAUAUUAAACGGAUUUUUGGAGCAGGGAGAUGGAAUAGGAGCUUGCUCUGUCCAAUCCAUGGAUCGAACUCGUACUGCAGUACUUUUAGGAAUGGUGCAACCCCU
ensembl:snRNA U2 U2 spliceosomal RNA